UUAGCUAGGAUUCUACUGCUGGCUGCUUCCUGCUGCUGGGGAACAGCACGGUCUGCAAUGACAGGAGAGGCAGGAAGCCUGCCUUAGCACCCCCACUGUACCGCUGACCGGGAGCUGCUCAAGGGACUAUAAUUUUCCCAGUUAUCGCACAAGACAAAAUACCUGUUUGAUGCUUUCUAGGCACCAUUUUGGACAUCACCAUAUGGAAAGAAAGUAUGGUACGCAGGGGAAGAAGGCCCUGAGUCAACACAGCUAAAAUUAAAGUUAAUUUCCAUAGAAAUGAAGAUGGAUUUCAACAUAUGCUUAAAGUUAAAAAUGUGAAUAAUGCUUUGUUAGAUCAGGGCCUAAGAAAAUAGAUGAGGAGACCACAUCUGUAUGCAGUAUUCAAGAUGU